UUCUUUAGAACUCGAACGUCAUUUUCAUCAUUGCAAAGAUCAGAUGAAUUAAAGGAAGUAACGAUUUCAAAUGAACAUAUUAUGCAACACAUGUACAUGUAUAUGCAUGCUUAGUACAUGCACCCAAAAUUUAAUACAUUUUUCAAUGAUAACCAAUACCAUUACACCACGUCCUGCUUAUGAUGUCAACACUACAUGUAUAUAAUGCGAUGUUGUCCCUUUUUUUAUUUACAUCUAUAUAAUGUUAUUGAAAGGCAGGCGUACUGUACAUAUAAGUAUGGCGAAGGACAUAGAUCUGAUCAUGAGUGAAGGGAUGUUCUAGUGAAAAUAGGUACAGCCAUCAUAAGUGUAGAUGAAUUGAUUGAGGAGUAUUUGGACUACCCGGAAGAACGGAGGGUUACUUCACUAGAUACCUGGGGGCACCUGUUUGGAUGUGUAACAGCGACAGCAAAUGUGUAAUUGUGUAAUAUCAACAGCAACGAGACGGAUCUACCUGGUUUAUAUGUGUCUGACAUAGAAAAUGCUUCACGGGAAUGGAUUUAAUCAAUAUAACGAAAGGGGCCUGGAUAAGGAGGCGGAAAAGGAAUGCCUUGACCGGACGUGACUGCGUGUUUUUCUCAGUGCUGGGGGCAUAUGUCACCUUUGUGUUCAUCUAUUUGGUCCAGAGCGAUCGUCUUUCACAAAUAAAUGUAGAUACAGACAAUAAACUCCCCGUGAGUCGGGACGUCAAACGAACUGUCCAGAGGCAUUCCGAGUUGACUGAUCUGUCCAUCCUUGCCAGGAUUCUCCAAAGACCAUCCACUGUACGGGACGAACGACGGACCCGAUUUCGUGGUUUACAACUUUCACUCCCAUUGUUUAGAACAACGACCAAAGCAAAUGAAAGAUUUUAACUUAAAGGAAUAUAUAUUACCUUUAUGUUGUUCCUCCAUUUGUCGUGGAUCUUUUGGAUACAUUGCUAUUGCGUAUACAUGUACCAUUAAAACAUUAAAUAUUUAACGUUUAAUAUGUUUAGUGACUGUUUUUAAUAUCUUGUAAGAAAUGGUAUUUUCUUAGAAAUGUAACAGAGUUAUGUAUUCGUAAAUAAAUAUGUCUGGCAUUGGCAUUAAUUGUUCAUAAGGAC